CAAAAAGUUAAAAACUAAAGGAGUAUGUUAUGGAUUUUCUUUUUGAUGUCAUGAAGCAACAGUACUGGUUAUUUCCAAGUACAAGUAACUUCUAUGAAAUAGCAAAUGAGCUUUUCCUAAGGUAUCCUUCUCUAAAACCUUGUCACUGCAAUGGCUCUGAACUUCUUGUGCAUUUGUUGGAGGCAAAAUUUAAGCGAGUUAGGCGUCCUCUUCUAAAUGAUGAGCAAGUUGCACAGUUUAAAAUAAAGUAGUCUAGAAUUAAUUCUGGCCGUAAGCGAAAUUCUGUCUUGCUGAAUGAGUCUGUUAAUCUUUGCUCAGCAAAACGUCACUGCCAUCAUUCAAGUGAUAAGGUAAGCACGAUUUCACAGCAUUUAUAAUACAUAUUUAUGUGAGAAAAUGCAUAGUGUAUUUGAUUUGAUAGCAUAAAAAAAAAUAGUUACAUAUUUUAAUUAUUAUAUAAUAGAAUGUGGAUAAUGAUAUAACUCAAGAUAUUAUAAAAAGCAU